rnacentral:rRNA from 1 species
UACGAAGGGGGCUAGCGUUGUUCGGAUUAACUGGGCGUAAAGGGUGCGUAGGCGGGGUUUUAAGUCAGGGGUGAAAUGCCGAGGCUCAACUUCGGAACUGCCUUUGAUACUGGAACUCUUGAGUCUGGGAGAGGUGAGUGGAACUGCGAGUGUAGAGGUGAAAUUCAUAGAUAUUCGCAAGAACACCAGUGGCGAAGGCGGCUCACUGGCCCGGAACUGACGCUGAGGCACGAAAGCGUGGGGAGCAAACAGG